rnacentral:rRNA from 1 species
AUUGAACGCUGGCGGCAUGCUUUACACAUGCAAGUCGAACGGCAGCGCGGGCUUCGGUCUGGCUGAGGGUGGCCAACUGGCGGGUGAUACAUGAGUACAUGGGCAUCUGCUUGGUCUUGCGCGACGACGGAGGGAAUCUUACCGCAAUCGCCCUUACGGUGUACGCGGGGGAUCUUCGGAUCUUGCGCUCUUGCGCGAGUCGAUGACCGGAUGUCGGAUUAGCUGGUUGGUGGGGUAAAGGCCCACCAAGGCGACGAUCCGUAGCUGGUCUGAGAGGACGAUCAGCCACACUGGAACUGAGACACGGUCCAGACUCCUACGGGAGGCAGCAGUGGGGAAUUUUGGACAAUGGGCGAAAGCCUGAUCCAGCAAUGCCGCGUGUGUGAUGAAGGCCUUCGGGUUGUAAAGCACUUUUGGCGGGAACGAAAAGGACUGUGCCAAUACCACGCUUCGAUGACGGUACCCGCAGAAUAAGCACCGGCUAACUACGUG